GGGGUUGUGGCUCAGUGGUAUAGCACUCGUUUAGCAUGCGUGAGGCACUGGGUUCAAUCCCCAGCACCACA
rnacentral:tRNA from 1 species